rnacentral:rRNA from 1 species
UACGUAGGAGACGAGCGUUGUCCGGAGUUACUGGGCGUAAAGGGUGCGCAGGUGGCGGCGCGCGUGGGGGGUGAAAUCGCCUGGCUUAACUGGGCGGGGGCCUUCCAGACGGCGUGGCUUGAGCAGCGGAGGGGGACGUGGAAUUCCGGGUGGAGCGGUGAAAUGCGUAGAGAUCGGAAGGAACGCCCGUGGCGAAAGCGAGGUCCUGGACGCUAUCUGACGCUGAGGCACGAAAGCCAGGGGAGCGAACGGG